rnacentral:rRNA from 1 species
AGGGUGACAGCCCCGUACACAAAAAUGCACAUAUUGUGAGCUUGAUGAGUAGGGCGGGACACGUGGUAUCCUGUCUGAAUAUGGGGGGACCAUCCUCCAAGGCUAAAUACUCCUGACUGACCGAUAGUGAACCAGUACCGUGAGGGAAAGGCGAAAAGAACCCCGGCGAGGGGAGUGAAAAAGAACCUGAAACCGUGUACGUACAAGCAGUGGGAGCACGCUUAGGCGUGUGACUGCGUACCUUUUGUAUAAUGGGUCAGCGACUUAUAUUCUGUAGCAAGGUUAACCGAAUAGGGGAGCCGAAGGGAAACCGAGUCUUAACUGGGCGUUAAGUUGCAGGGUAUAGACCCGAAACCCGGUGAUCUAGCCAUGGGCAGGUUGAAGGUUGGGUAACACUAACUGGAGGACCGAACCGACUAAUGUUGAAAAAUUAGCGGAUGACUUGUGGCUGGGGGUGAAAGGCCAAUCAAACCGGGAGAUAGCUGGUUCUCCCCGAAAGCUAUUUAGGUAGCGCCUCGUGAAUUCAUCUCCGGGGGUAGAGCACUGUUUCGGCAAGGGGGUCAUCCCGACUUACCAACCCGAUGCAAACUGCGAAUACCGGAGAAUGUUAUCACGGGAGACACACGGCGGGUGCUAACGUCCGUCGUGAAGAGGGAAACAACCCAGACCGCCAGCUAAGGUCCCAAAGUCAUGGUUAAGUGGGAAACGAUGUGGGAAGGCCCAGACAGCCAGGAUGUUGGCUUAGAAGCAGCCAUCAUUUAAAGAAAGCGUAAUAGCUCACUGGUCGAGUCGGCCUGCGCGGAAGAUGUAACGGGGCUAAACCAUGCACCGAAGCUGCGGCAGCGACGCU